GGGCUGUUAGCUCAGUUGGUAGAGCAGUUGACUCUUAAUCAAUAGGUCCAAGGUUCGAAUCCUUGACCAAGGUUCGAAUCCUUGACAGCCCACCA
rnacentral:tRNA from 1 species